CCUACGGGAGGCAGCAGUGAGGAAUAUUGGUCAAUGGGCGCGAGCCUGAACCAGCCAAGUAGCGUGACGGAUGACUGCCCUACGGGUUGUAAACUUCUUUUAUAAAGGAAUAAAGUGAGGCACGUGUGCCUUUUUGUAUGUACUUUAUGAAUAAGGAUCGGCUAACUCCGUGCCAGCAGCCGCGGUAAUACGGAGGAUCCAAGCGUUAUCCGGAUUUAUUGGGUUUAAAGGGUGCGUAGGCGGAUUGAUAAGUUAGUGGUGAAAGGGUCGGGCUUAACUGGGAAACUGCAAUUAAUACUGUUGAUCUAGAGAGUAGAUGCGGUAGGCGGAAUGUAUGGUGUAGCGGUGAAAUGCUUAGAGAUCAUACAGAACACCGAUUGCGAAGGCAGCUUACCAAUCUAUAUCUGACAUUGAGGCACGAAAGCGUGGGGAGCAAACAGGAUUAGAUACCCUGGUAGUC
rnacentral:rRNA from 1 species